rnacentral:rRNA from 1 species
AUUGAACGCUGGCGGCAUGCCUUACACAUGCAAGUCGAACGGUAACAGGUCUUCGGAUACUGACGAGUGGCGAACGGGUGAGUAAUACAUCGGAACGUGCCUAGUAGUGGGGGAUAACUACUCGAAAGAGUGGCUAAUACCGCAUGAGAUCUACGGAUGAAAGCAGGGGAUCGCAAGACCUUGUGCUACUAGAGCGGCCGAUGGCAGAUUAGGUAGUUGGUGGGAUAAAAGCUUACCAAGCCGACGAUCUGUAGCUGGUCUGAGAGGACGAUCAGCUACACUGGGACUGAGACACGGCCCAGACUCCUACGGGAGGCAGCAGUGGGGAAUUUUGGACAAUGGGCGCAAGCCUGAUCCAGCAAUGCCGCGUGCAGGAUGAAGGCCUUCGGGUUGUAAACUGCUUUUGUACGGAACGAAAAGCCCUGGGUUAAUACCCUGGGGUCAUGACGGUACCGUAAGAAUAAGCACCGGCUAACUACGUGCCAGCCGCCGCCGUAAUAC